CCAAAUUCAAUUUCCUAAGAUCCUGAAGUUUCUCUAACCUGACCUGAAACACCCUAUAUAUUAAAAUUAAUAAUUUAUUCUUUAAUUUACUCAAUAUAGCUACAGUUAUUUAUACAUUUAAACAUAUGUAUAUCAUACAAUUGGAAUUUUGUUACAAUGCGUACAGGUAAUAACCAUUAUCCACCACUAUUAAAAAAUGUGGUAAAUAUACAUAUUAGGUUACAUCUCAUCGACUUUGACCUUGACAUAUAUUGUUAACAUAAUCCCGAGUACCUUUUCCUUAUAAAUUAAUCGGCGGUCUCUUAUAGCUUUUGAGAUAUUUAAUGUUAAAGUUUUACAGUUUUAAUGUAUUUUCGGCAAUUAUUUACUUUUAGAGGAGUACCUUGAUGGUCAGAACGACCUUGAUAUUGACAUAUGUUGUUAAGGUCAUGAUCCUGAGUAACAUAAAAAAAAAUUUAGUCAUCGGUCACUCGUCAUUAAAAAAUUAUUAACAAAAAGGUUUGAAAUAUACUAAAGUACAUGCAUGGAUAGGAAGAACGCACACUCAUCCAUACACAUCCAUCACAUACACACACACGCGCGCAUGAGGGGGUGCAAGGGGAGAGCCUUCGGCUCUCCUCCGGCACCCACCCCGCCGAUAGGCAGGGUGAACCUUGCUUUACAAUGUAACAUGUACUUUGUAAGUUGUCACCCUGCCUACCGGCGGAGCGGAUGCGAGAGGGGGGCCGAAGGCCUUUCCCCCCGUGGGAGACAAUCAGGGCUGAUGCUCCUGCGAGCCGGUCUCUUUCCGUUGCGAUCGUUUCUAGCGUGCGGACAGCGAGGAAACCACGAGCGAGUGAGCAAGCGAGCGAGCGAUCAAGCGAACGGACGAAAGAGUGUAUCGAACGAUAAAUACUAAAAUUAUAAGACAGAGAAUUUAUUAUAUUGUUACCUUAAAAAGGUAAAAUGUUUUUUUGUUAGUUGUUAUACUGAUUAUAUUUACGUAGAAGAUUUAAUUCAAACGAAUAACACUCUAUGAGAUAUUCCGCAACGUUACUGUAAAAUUGAUCUCAUUGUGAAUUCUUACGUUAAGAUUACACUAUAGUUAAAUGUAUAGAAGAAUUUAGUUUUUGAUUAAUUAAACAAUUUAAAUUGCAAUUAUUCUAUUUUAUAUCUAUAUCUUAAUAAAAUUCCAACAGAUAGAAUUGGGAAACAAAGUAUUAAGUGAUACGAGUUUAAAAAUGAUAAUGACUUUACUUGUAAACGACGCUCAAGCAGAAUGGACAGGAAACGAAUUGAUGCCUUUAUGGAAUAUUAUUGAUAAAAUACAUAUCUAUACACCGUGAAUUCUUUAAUGAUAUUGAAAAAGAUAUCGAAAAGGAGAUUGAAAAGGAGAUCGAAAAGAUCGAAUUAGAUUCAAUGGGAAGUGCGAUAUUUCAGCAAAAAAGUCAAUUGAUUUAAUAGUUGAUUUCUCAUCAUUAUACAUAAAUAAACAAUUUUCUUACGAUAAGAAUUUAUCAUCUUAGAAACAUGCUCGCGAGGUCAAACAAACGUGAUAAAGCAAUGUUAUUUAACAAUAUGUUAAAACUAUAAUGUGUCAUAAACCUUUAUAUUUUUGAAAUGUUAUAAAAUGUGCUAAAUUUUUAUUACAAGAAAAAUAUUUUUAACCAAAUUUGUUAUUUUAUGCAGAGUGUCUGAUAAUAAUUGUCCCGUAAUAUGCAGAUAGAGCAGAUUAAACUAAGCAGGAAAAUUCUUUACCUUUUUUUGUAUAACGCUUAAUAAAAGAAUUAUUAUUGAAUAAAAUCUUGCCAAUCAUCGCCGAUCUUUAGCCGCGCGCAUGUCGUGCUGUGACAAGCACGUGAGCGUUCAACACUGAACAGCGUUAAACGCUCACGCAUAUUACUAGGCGCGCGACUUACUGAUCUAAUCUGAAUCUAAGAACCAAAAAAAGAAAACAAUUUAAUUCUUUUAGUAUUUACAUAAAUACACAUUGUGUGUAAUAUAUAUUAUCAUAUAUUUCAAAUACACAUUAUACAUUUCAAUAAACAAUAACAAAUUAGUCGCAACAUAUAUUUUUUUUAAUAUAAGCAAAUAUCCAUUAUUUUAGUUUAUAAGUAGUAACAAAUAAAAUGAAAAUAAAUCCGGAGAUAAUUUCAAAAAAAAAUAAGAAGAACAAUCGUCAGUGUCAAAAUACGAUAUCGAAUUAUAAAAAAUAAAAAUAUUUGCAAAAAUACAAUUUAUUUUAUUAAUUGUGUCGUAAUUAUUUAAUUUCAUUAAAUUGCGUACAUACAUGCUUGUAUGCACAAUAAAUGUUUCCUAAAAUUUUAAAUGUAAUAUUUCUGAUUAGGGAUCGAAUUUUAUCUACAAAAUCUGUGAUGUUAGAAGAUUUGAUUUUAAAAACACCGGAAAAGAAAUAAGAUAUAAGAUAAUAGAUAAUUUUAAUAUCAUAAUAUUUUAACUAAUAUAAUUAUAUUUUAUAAUAUGUUAUCUCAAAACAUAUACAUUUACAUUAACACAUUUUUUAAGCAUCUAUUCAAAUUUUAUUUAUAAUCCAACAUGAAGAAGACAUAAUGAUAUAAGAUAGACAUAUAAUUCAUGUAAUAAUAUAAGACGAAUACACACGUUCUGCUGCAAAUUUUUCUUUUUAACUUUAUCUUAUAAAUCUUUUAUAUUUUAAAUACGUUAUAACUGUGAAUAUAUGUAUAACAAACUACAUUGCAGUAUUAUAAUUAUAUAUUUUAUAUAUAAAACUAUACUAAAAAUAUCUUACAAAGGUAAAAAAAUAAACAAGUACAUAAAAAAUAUC